UUAUCAGUUAAGUUUCAGUUGGUGUUCUGUGCAUCAGUGACCACAAUCAUUGGUUGAAAGGAUGGGGACCGAGGUGUGAGCAGCAGUAUGAUGGCCAUGCAAAGAUGAGAGAAAAGCUGAGUGGUGAUGCUGCCGUCUCCACCAGUUAGGAGAGCAUGACCAAAGAGACCAGCGGGGCCACCAGGAGCAGAAGGCCAGCACUUGUGCUGCUGGCGCUGUUGCAGAAGUUCCCCUGACAGCAGUUAAUAUCUGUCCCAAGGGCUCCUGCAGUCUGUGUAGUUUGCGUUGAGCAAAUGGUCUUGGAGGCACAACCCUUCAUGGUCAAUGUUUGACCUCCUGCAUUCACUGGGAGAAUGAAAAUAAUGUUAGGGUGAGAACUUAAUGUUUUAGUACAUCCAUUCAAACAGCGUUAGAUGUUUAAUGCUGUAGGCCGGUACCUUUUGUUGAGAUGCAGUAGUCCUCAUUCCCCUCACAGUUUAGAGUGUUGGUGCACUGUUGUCCAUCGCAGGAGAAGCACAUUUUACCAUUUGGGUUGGAUUUGCUGGGAUCUGUAGCACAAAACAUCCAUUGUUCAUAUUGUUUGGGGAUGUAGAGGGGGGGUUGAGGGGUGACUUAAAUUCCCUUUUCUUCUUCAGUGCCUAUUUCAAAGCUUUCUAUGUCCAACAGUCUAAUGGACACUGAUUUACACAAUGUAAAAAAGAUUAACAUUCAUUUAUCAUAUUGUUUGUGGAUACAGUUAUUCAAAUAUACAAAAUGCAAAGAUA